UAGUGGAGACACGAACGGUCUCCUCAUCCCGCGAGUGGAUCGGCCUCCACCCUAGACCGAGGAGAGAAUGGCUCUGCCUGGACCGACCCCCGCGCCGGGCGGACCGGAUCUUCGGCCUAAAGCGUCCACCUGUCUGGAAGCCGCCACCACCAAGCUUUUAUUAAUAUAUCCGUUCCCGCCGGGUUGGCUAUAGAGAUGCGAAUCAACUCCGGGGGUGGGGUGAGGAGCAAGGCCGCGGAGCGGUGAUUGCUUCCUGGACGAGUUGCGUAGGGCGGGACAAAGUCCUGCCCUGAGCUCUGAUUGGUCACCGCGAGACUGCCUACCUAAGCUCUUCCAGGGUACCGAGGUUUUCCGGAAUCACUAAGAGGCUACAAGCCGGGUCCUUCGGCUCCGCGCUCCCAUUGGCUGCUGUUUCGGCGCAAGCGCUUUGGCUCCUGGGUUGGCGUUCAGGGUUGCCGAGGCAGGGCUUUGGCUACUGGAGACUGUAGGUUCGAAUCCCGUCUGGGAACUUCAACUUGUGCACCUGUACAAGAAGCUGGCAUUAUUGGCUUGUACUCAAGGGCUGGCACAGAGUGUGUCGGGGUGCGGACGCCCCAGCCACGCCCAUCAUCCGUGCGGAAGAUGCAGAGGUCAUAUCGGAUGCCUUUCUGUACCACGCGAUUCGGGCAGUCAUAGCCGCAGCGGCAGCGGGAGUUGCACUCGUAGAUGGGCAGCCCGGCUCGAAGCCGCACCUGGCCCUGGUCAUUGUAGGCAAACUUGUGCAGUGACGCCCCCGGGCAGCAGCCUCCAGUGGGUGCCCACAGACAGUCCUGGCACUCGCAGCCCACAGCCACCUGGUUGAGGGUGAUGCCCUCACCAACACGGUACUCAUUGAUGUACACGAAGGCCCGCGGGGGGCCGUCCAGGUCCACCUCAUUCUCUACAGUGAUGCGUCCCAGAUGGCUGCGCUUGGCAUUGAGCUCCUGCUCCCAGCGACGGAGCGCCCGCCUCUGCUUGGCCUUCUGCACCAGGUAGUUGGCCAAGCUUGGGUCCAGGUGCCGGGGGGUCUUUGACCGGUGGUGCCGCCGGAGCAGCUCCCUCUCUAAGUCCUUGUGGAACUGCUUGAGGAUACGCACACACUUGAGAUUCUGCCGUGGCUCCCAGGUGCUCUCUGAGUCUGGAUAUCCGCGCCAUUUCACCAGAGCUGAGCAUUUCCCUGCUUGAGAAGGUGUGAUCUGCUUACUUCCAUACAGAGAAAUUCAGGAUCCUAAACGUGAAGUCUGCCCUCUUAGAACAUGAAGCUGCUGGCUGAGUGUGGUGGCUCAUGUCUAUAAUCCCAACACUUUGGGAGGCUGAGGCGGGAGGCUCACUUGAGCCCAGGAGUUCAAGAGCAGCCUGGGCAACAUAGUGAGACCUCGUUUCUAUUUUCAAUAAAAAUUUUUAAAAGGAAGAUGAAGCUGCUGCUGGUGACAGGAGCUGAAAAUGAUGCGAGCAGAGGACCAUCAACAGCCCCUUCCCCAGGCUUCAGGUAGAGAUUUCUUUAGUGCGUUCUCACAUCUACAUACUGGAACUGUCAGGCUCAAUUUCCCUUUUGGUCUAUAUAAUUUGCAAAACAAAAUUUUUUGGCAUCUGAUGGCCCGGCAUGUGCAGUAACUACCUGUUGGUUUGCUCAGCUGUCAUCACUAGCUGAACACUUGAGGCCUUCUUAGUCCACUCUCAGCUUAAGAGCCAAGGUGAAUACCGCUUGAGAGCCAAGGUGGGUAGGAUCUCAAAGUGGAUCUUUGACAAAACACAAGAGAUCUGCCUGACUUUGAUACAUGGUGUCAUGCUGAGGGAUCGUUAAGGCACCCCUGUGCCAUCAGAUGUCCAUUGAGCAUCUACUAUAUGCCAGGCACUUGGUCCACAUGAUCUCAUUUAACCCUCACAACAGAUGCA